GGCGAAGUCACUGAUACCACGCUUCCAGGAAAAGCUCCUAAGCUUCAGCUUACGCAGACCGUACCGUAAACCGACACAGGUGGGUAGGAUGAGAAUUCUCAGGCGCUUGAGAGAACUCGGGUGAAGGAACUAGGCAACAUGGCACCGUAACUUCGGGAGAAGGUGCACCCUUUUUGGUGGCUCGUGCGAGCUAUAGCUGAAGAGGGUCGCAGUAACCAGGCCGCUGCGACUGUUUAUCAAAAACACAGCACUCUGCAAACACGAAAGUGGACGUAUAGGGUGUGACGCCUGCCCGGUGCUGGAAGGUUAAUUGAUGGGGUCAGCCGCAAGGCGAAGCUCUUGAUCGAAGCCCCAGUAAACGGCGGCCGUAACUAUAACGGUCCUAAGGUAGCGAAAUUCCUUGUCGGGUAAGUUCCGACCUGCACGAAUGGCGUAACGACAGCGGCGCUGUCUCCACCCGAGACUCAGUGAAAUUGAAAUCGCUGUGAAGAUGCAGCGUUCCCGUGGCAAGACGGAAAGACCCCGUGAACCUUUACUAUAGCUUUACACUGAACGUUGAGUUCGUCUGUGUAGGAUAGGUGGGAGGCUAUGAAACUGUGGCGCUAGCUGCAGCGGAGCCAUCCUUGAAAUACCACCCUGUCGUGCUUGACGUUCUAACCUGGGCCCAUUAUCUGGGUCGGGGACCGUGUAUGGUGGGUAGUUUGACUGGGGCGGUCUCCUCCUAAAGAGUAACGGAGGAGCUCGAAGGUACGCUCAGCGCGGUCGGACAUCGCGCACUGUGUGCAAAGGCAUAAGCGUGCUUGACUGCAAGAUCGACGGAUCAAGCAGGUAGGAAACUAGGACUUAGUGAUCCGGUGGUUCUGUAUGGAAGGGCCAUCGCUCAACGGAUAAAAGGUACUCCGGGGAUAACAGGCUGAUACCGCCCAAGAGUUCAUAUCGACGGCGGUGUUUGGCACCUCGAUGUCGGCUCAUCACAUCCUGGGGCUGUAGUCGGUCCCAAGGGUAUGGCUGUUCGCCAUUUAAAGUGGUACGCGAGCUGGGUUCAGAACGUCGUGAGACAGUUCGGUCCCUAUCUGCCAUGGGCGUUGGAGAUUUGAGAGGGGCUGCUCCUAGUACGAGAGGACCGGAGUGGACGAACCUCUGGUGUUCCGGUUGUCACGCCAGUGGCAUUGCCGGGUAGCUAUGUUCGGAAGCGAUAACCGCUGAAAGCAUCUAAGCGGGAAGCGCGCCUCAAGAUGAGAUCUCCCGGGGCACAAGCCCCCUGAAGGAACCAUGUAGACUACGUGGUUGAUAGGUCAGGUGUGUAAGUACAGCAAUGUAUUGAGCUAACUGAUACUAAUGAUCCG
rnacentral:rRNA from 1 species